ensembl:lncRNA
CCACAUUAAUCCAGAAAAUAGUUUUCUUUUAUGCAAUAAAACCUGUAGGGAGAGAAUGAUCCCAAAGACUUGUGAAACCUUAGGAAAUAGCAAUACGAACUAUUUCAGUCUUAAUUAAAUUACUUGAAAGUAUAAAGUGAAACUGUAUUUUCUGAGUAAGUGAAUGGAGUAAUUAAAAUAAAUCCAAAGACCAGCAGACAUUUAUCUGAGCUGCCCGUGUGUCUUUUUGGUAAUUCUGUUGCACAAAGUUUUUCCUGAAAGGCAAAACAAAGCCACAGAUUACAAAUUGCUGGAGAGAUGGGAGAAUCUAAAGGCACAAAAAGAGGAGGGGUCAGCAUGAAGGUGCUCCAAUUUCAUUUGCAGUUGAUGACAGUGAUUAUGCUCCUCUAGGGGGAUAAUAGGGGCUUAGCAGCAAGGCUGGAGGAUUCAUCCUGACAACGUUUUUUUCCUUUUUGCAGGAAACAAAAAUGGGUCUUCGUGGGGAUGUGAGCAAAUGUGUUGAAUGUGAAACAUCUGUGUGGACAGAUUCAAUGGGACACAUGUUGCAGCCUUUCAGAGCCUGGACCAUACUUUGGAUCUGGAUGUGGUGAUGGGAGAGAUGAGAAGAAUGAAAGCAAUGAAUAUAUCUGCCCUGGGAUGUCCUCAUCUGUCCUGGAAGGCACUGUGCACGUCCUUGGUAUGGUGCAAGAAGCAGGUGAGAAUUCAGUGCCUCUUGGGAGGGACUGUGCUGGAGUGAGAGAGGAUCUUCUUGAGACUGAGAUGCAACUGAGUGGUGAAGCAGUGGCACAGGUUGCACAGAGAGGUGGUCAUGCCCCAUCCCUGUAGACAGCCAAGGUCAGGCUGGAUGGGGCUGUAAGCACUGAUGGAGCUGUGGGUGUCCCUGUUCAGUGCAGGGGGUUGGACUGGGUGGCCUUUACGGGUCCCUUCUAACUCAUACAGUGUAUGAUUCUAUGAUAACUGAUUUGCAUUGGAAAUGGUAGUAGGAUUUUGAUUAUAGAAUUUAAUGAAUUCCAGAUACCUAUCAUUUAUAUGUUAAAGACUUCUCGUAACUCAGCAACCAAGAGUGAUUUCUCUCCUGAGUGUGACUAAACCCCAGAUCUAGUAUUUUAACUUCUCUAUCGCUUUGCUUAAAGCCUCUUAAUAUGAUGUCACUGAAUGCAUUUCAGGAUCCCAGUGAUGCAGCUUGUACUUUCAUGCUUAGGCAAUGUGGGAGCUGUCUCUCAGCAGUGUGAUUAUCUGCACAGUGGAGCUGUUCCCUGCCCACUGCUGGAGCUGGCAUGGACUGGGAUGUGCUCAUUGUAGGGUACCAUCCUCUUCCUUCUCUUUACAAGGAGCACUAUGGAUGUAUUCUAUGCUUAUUAGUCAUAGAUUUGGCCUGUGGCAUCCACCAGCUUGUCUUGUACUUCCAAUGGCCCACACCUUUCUGUGGACCUCCUGCAGGUCUCCUGAUUUUACAGCUAAGAAACUGACUGUGGCUGACACAGAGCGAUCUCACCAGGUUGCUAAUGCCAACAUUAAAUGCAGUGCUCUCCAUCCCAUUAGCAGUCCCCAAAGACCAUACUUGCUGCAGCUCCUAACUCUUUGAUCUUGGCAAUUACUCUUUACAACCAGAGCUCCUCUCAUCUCCUCUGCUGGGGUUUGGUCUUUUGACCCCCUGCAAAUUUUCACAAGGAAAGAUUUGCCUUGUUUCAUCUGGUUCUGCUCAGGAAGUGAAGCUGCAAGCUGUGCCACAUGCUGCCUGGUAACGCUCCCCCUAACCCUCCCUCACCCUAACCCUCUCUUCUCCUUGGAGGGCUGAUUCUAUACCCAAC